GAACCAGAGCAACUCCAUCUUAAACAGGAGCUGGAUCCAAGAAUUCUCUCUUGGGAUCUGGAUGGGACCCCUUUCCUGUAACAGAAUUACAGGAGUGAGCCACAGCACCUGGCCUGGAAUUUCCACGCAUGAUUUGGAAGCACUAAAGAAAGGCCAUGUGAACACACAGCACGAAGAUGGCCUUCUGCAAGCCAGAGGCCUCACCAGGAACUAACUGUCAACACCUUGAUCUUGGAUUCCCAGCCUACAGAAGCAUGAGAAAAUAAAUUUCUGUUGUUUAAGCCACCCA